CUAAAAUGCACCAGAUUCUCACUGAGAAAGAGCAGCGUUUACUCAGAGAUCUCAGGGAAGAAGAGGAGAGGAUUGUAGAACCAAUGGAGAAAAACCUUCGAGAGAUUCAGGAGAAUUUAAAUUCUAUUGAGGAGAAACUCUCAAAGUUACAGAAACAGAUGGAGCAAAAAGACGAAUUGAUGUUUCUGAAGGAGGAAGCUUGUCGGAAGAGAAGGAUCAGUGUGGUGCAGAACACACUGGCAGCUGCUGAUGCCUCUCUGUUUCUCAGGCAGUUCACCAGUCCUUUACAGUACACGGUCUGGAGAGAAAUGAUACACACCAUUCACCCAGUCAUUGUGCUGAACAUCAUCACUAAGGUGUUGCAAUUACUGAGACCUGGUGACAGAAUCCUCGAACAUCAUCUCAGCUGGAAACAUAACAAUCACUGAAACCAUGGCGAUGGAAACUGAUGUCAAAGCUGAUAAUGUAACAACUGACCAAAAGCACAGGGGAUGGUGUCAAUACAUUUCAUCAUCACAACACUCUACCCAGUGAGUGUGAGAGAGAGAGAGAGAGAGAAACUUCACCAGCACUUCAAAGCGACGCUUAAGCAAUGAAACAGAAAAAGCAGAAGCCAAAAGUACAAAGAAGGUUUUCGCUGAGGCAACUACCGGUGAAGUUAUCAUUCCCACUGUGGUGGUUACCUCUCAGAGGCUCAGUUAUGAAACCUCUGCUACGAAUGAAGGGGUUGCCAGUGAGGCGCUUAUCCAAUAAGCCAAGGCUACCCACCCACUGUCUGAAGUCGGAAAGAAGGGUGCCACUCACGAAGGGAGGGAAGAGGCUGCCAGAAAGAUGCCUGCCUACAAAGGUAGCAAGGAAAAUGCCAGUGAAGUGUUUCUCCAAGAACAGUUCCAUCCCAAGGAAGAGUUCGAAUAUAAAGAACAUCAUUCAGGAGCCAUCUGUCCCAGCAAGAAGAUCCCCAGCUAGCAUAAAUCUUCUUAAUGCUUCUUAAAAUGACAUAUACAGCCACAAAGCAUAUGCAGCAUAA